UCGAGCGGUAACAGGGUGUAGCAAUACAUGCUGAACGAGCGGCGAACGGGUGAGUAAUGCUUCGGAAUCUGCCCAAUGGUGGGGAAUAACCAGCCGAAAGGUUGGCUAAUACCGCAUAAGUCCUACGGGAGAAAGCAGGGGAUCGUAAGACCUUGCGCCGAUGGAUGAGCCGAAGUCGGAUUAGCUAGUUGGUAGGGUAACGGCCUACCAAGGCGACGAUCCGUAGCUGGUCUGAGAGGACGACCAGCCACACUGGGACUGAGACACGGCCCAGACUCCUACGGGAGGCAGCAGUGGGGAAUAUUGGACAAUGGGGGAAACCCUGAUCCAGCGACGCCGCGUGUGUGAAGAAGGCCUGCGGGUUGUAAAGCACUUUUAGUGGGGAUGAAAAGCUCAGGGAUAACACCUCUGGGUCUUGACCUAACCCACAGAAAAAGCACCGGCUAACUCUGUGCCAGCAGCCGCGGUAAUACAGAGGGUGCAAGCGUUAAUCGGAAUUACUGGGCGUAAAGCGUGCGUAGACGGUUAUGUAAGUCGGGUGUGAAAGCCCCGGGCUCAACCUGGGAAUGCCAUUCGAGACUGCAUAGCUAGGGUGCGGAAGAGGGAAGCGGAAUUUCCGGUGUAGCGGUGAAAUGCGUAGAUAUCGGAAGGAACACCAGUGGCGAAAGCGGCUUCCUGGUCCAGCACCGACGUUCA
rnacentral:rRNA from 1 species